GCAGCAUUUUAGAAUCACUUGAAAAGACUAAUUCCACUCAAUUGAACUGCUUUUGUAAUAAUUUAAUCUCUUAUUCUGGAGUAAAAUAAAGAAACAAGCUAAAUUAUCACAUAUCUGUGGCAUCAAGAAGCAUCUUCUGAGUUCAAACACAGGGAUGGAGCUCAAUGUUUACAACUGAAACAGUAUCAGGAUAUUUUAACUCACAGAGGUCUGCAGGUCUUCUGUUUUAUGAACAAAGUGCUGGGAAUCCACUUAUUCUGCGUGCUAAACGUUAUUUUGCCGCGUCCAUGCGGAGAAACACAUUUCAAACACGGAACCAAGUCCGGCUACCGAACUGAGCAGAAUUCUGAUGACGCAACACCGGUGCGCGCAGGUGCGGGUUCCAACCAUAGACCGUACAUACUGGACAAACGGAUUCCAUUGGCUUCAAUAACACGUUUGUUGUCUAUAAUGGGAGGUGGCCACCACCGCCAUUUUGACCGUGUCACGGGUUCCGUCCAGCCCAGACAAUUCCAUAAAAGGGAAGAGAGGAGGCGCUGAGGGUGUGGCUGUAAGGCUGGGCUCGAGUGACGAUACCCAGGCGAACUAGCUACGAGCUAACCUGAAGCUAACCCUGGCUAACCCAAAGCUAAAGCGGAGGUGGGAGCCGAGCUAACGGAUGUAGCCACCUAGCUUCAACCCAACCGGAGCUAACUGGAACACCCAUCGACCUGAACCUCACACGGAGUUUAGGUGGAGGUUUUCUGCGCCUGUUCGUGAGAAGUACCUGUAUUAAAAAAGUUUUAAAUCGAUCUAUUAAAAGGUCACCAUGGCAGCCUGUGUGUCAACGUCAGCUACACAAAGCAGCAAGUGUAAGUAACAAGUACUUGUCUUGACCACUUCAUGAAUGGUUUUGUACUUUAAACAGCUAGGCCAAACCUGUUAUUUUUUCCUCCAUAGCCAUUUGGAUCAUUGGAGACAGCUGAGUGAGGCGUGGUGCCCAGAGAGCUGCAGAGACAACCUUGGCCUCCCUGACGUCUGUGUCUCUUGGUUUGGUUGGGGCGGACCAUCGACAUACAUACAUGUGCCGACACUUUGCGCCCUGUUUUAUAAACUGUAGUGUUAAAAAUAAAUGUUUUUGCUCAA